UUAGAAAGAUAGGAAUUGAACCUACAACUAAAAGAUCAAAACUUUUCGUAAUUCCUUUUUACCACUUCCUA
rnacentral:tRNA from 1 species